UGAUUGAUUCAAUUACAAAGAUUAGCGUAAUGAACAUAUUUGACACCUACGAUUAGAUAACAUGAUACUAAUAUAUUUCGAAUGUUGAAAGAAAAUGGCCAUUUGUGAUAUUUUGUUGAUAAUGUACAUCCAACCAAUUCUCUGUUGUUUGUUUUGAGAAUCUUCCUUCUCGCAUUCGGACACAUGAUCGAUGAUUUGUUUGUUUGUUCGGGAUUCGAAUGAAACCUAUCUGGUUGCCAUCAUCAUCAUCAUCAUAACUUCUAUCGACAAUACGCUAAUAGUACGAGCAUCAUUAUUAAGCCAAUCCAAUAGGAAAAUGAAACAAAAUACAACAAGCACAUACGCAUACAUACCAUAUAACGCCAAUAUAAAUGUGUAUGGUUGUUUGUUUGUGUGUG